CUCAGACAUGGCAGGAACACUGCCAUGACCCACUACCUGCUCACCCCCAUGAGCCUCAUCCAGGAGAAUUGUCAUAGUGAAGGACCUCUGACUGGGUCCCCAGGCUCCAGCUCAAGAAGUUUCUCCUGACCAUGUCACAUGGUCCACUUCCAACUGACACUUGGAACUGCCCACCACCUGGACUUGUAUUUGACGGCUCUGUGCUCUGAACAGCUAUGUGUUGGUAGUGAUGUCACCAUAUGGGAGGAGCCACAUGAAGAGUUCCAGGCCUCCUGCAUCCUAUCCCAACAAAUGUGUUAGAAGCUGCAGAAACAUUAAGAUUUACUUAUGACAGUUUAUGGGGAGAUCAGCAGGAACAGUGCUGAAAGUUGUUCAUCACUUAGAACCUUCUAGAAUUACUCUGCUACUACACUUUGGACUGGCUUUGAACCUGUGAUCUUCAAGCAAAAGGCCUGGGAGCCUGCUGGCAACCACACUUUGAUCAUCUUGUCCACAGCCCCCACCACACCUGCCUCCACCAUCCUAAACUUUUCAUUCUUACCCUCGUGAAUGAUCUGUGUUACAUCCCCAAUCUACUGGAUGCCUGUGAAUAAUAAUUGCUAGGUCUGUAGUCAUUUUCAUUCCUAAUAACUUUAUGAGGCUUACAUAACCUUGCUUUGAUAUUGUUAUUGACUUUGGAGUUAUAAUUACUACUACUAAUUGAGAAAGCUUGAUGAUAAAUUGAGACAAAU